AGGGGUAGGGUUAGAGUAGGGUUAGGGGUAGGGUUAGGGUUAGGAGUAGGGUUAGGGGUAGGGUUAGGAAUAGGGUUAGGGUUACCCUACCACUACCCUAACCCUACUCCAACCACUAACCCUACCCCAACCCCUAACCCUAUCCCUACCCCUAACCCUACCCCAACCCUUAACUCU